GAUGAAGAACGCAGCGAAAUGCGAUAAGUAAUGCGAAUUGCAGAAUUCAGUGAAUCAUCGAAUCUUUGAACGCACAUUGCGCCCCCUGGUAUUCCGGGGGGCAUGCCUGUCCGAGCGUCAUUGCUGCCCUCAAGCACGGCUUGUGUGUUGGGCCUCCGUCCUCCUCCCGGGGGACGGGCCCGAAAGGCAGCGGCGGCACCGCGUCCGGUCCUCGAGCGUAUGGGGCUUCGUCACCCGCUCUUGUAGGCCCGGCCGGCGCUUGCCGACACAUCAAUCUUUUUUCCAGGUUGACCUCGGAUCAGGUAGGGAUACCCGCUGAACUUAAGCAUAUCAAUAAGCGGAGGA
rnacentral:misc_RNA from 1 species